CAUUCCUGAGGGAGAGGGGAAACCUGCUCCCUCUGCCUAUGUGACUGACACCACAUACCUGGGUGAGGGGCUUAAAUUCCCUAUUGUUCUAAGUAAUGCUAACCUGACUGGGAGGGAGCUAGAGACCCUGCCAUGAGUCUGCCUGGAAACAA